CGGGGUGGCCCUUGGGGGGCUCCUGGCGCAGGGGGGGGCUGAAGGUCUCGGUUCGGAUCACGGGCGAGUGCAGCUUCUCCUCCUUCCCCCCCCCCAGCGGCUGCGACUGCACCACCGAGGCCGCUCGCAAUUCCUGCGGAAACUCGGGAUCAGGAUCCGUCCCCAAAUCCCAGCCCCACUCCUGAUCCUGAUCCUGAUCCUGAUCCCGACACCGCUCGCAAUUCCUGCCGUGGAAAUCCGGGAUCAGCUUCGGCCCCAAAGCCCAGCCCCGAUCCCGAUCCCGACCCCAAUCCUGACCCCGAUCCCGAGGCCGUUCACAAUUCCUGCUGUGGGAAUUCGGGAUCAGGAUCCGUCCCAAAAUCCCAGCCCUGAUCCUGAUCCUGAUCCCGAGGCUGCUUCCAGUUCCUGUGGAAAUUCGGGAUCAGAUUCGGCCCCAAAAUCCUGACCCCGAUCCUGAUCCUGAUCGCAAUUCCUGCCGUGGGAAUUUGGGAUCAGAUCCAUCCUCAAAUCCCAGCCCUGAUCCUGAUCCCGUUCCUGAUCCUGACAUCAUCCACAAUUCCUGUGGGAAUUUGGGAUCAGGAUCCGUCCCCAAAUCCCAAUUUCAAUCCUGAUCAUGACCCCAAUCCUGACCCUGACCCUGGCUCACAAUUCCUGCCGUGGGAAUUCGGGAUCAGGAUCCAUCCCCAAAUCCCAGCCCCGAUCCUGACCCUGACCCCGAUCCUGACCCUGACAUCAUCCACAAUUCCUGUGGGAAUUCGGGAUCAGGACCUGCCCCAAAUCCCAACCCCGAUCCUGGUGCUCAACCCCUGGGACAGAUCCCAGCUCCGGAUCCACCUGGAGACCCCGACCUUCCUCUUCCUCCUCUUCCUCCUCCCUGACCCCCAAACCCCUGAAAUCCCUGAAAUCCCUGAAAUCCCGG
rnacentral:lncRNA from 1 species